AGGUCGUUUUAAAAUACCAAGAAUAUUUGCUGUCAGAUGAAACUCUGAAGAAAACAGCAAAAUGUAGUACCCUUAGAGGAUGGCCUUAGCACAGGCAGUCUACCUGUCUGGCAGUGAAACAAACUUCAGAAUACAGAAACAACAGAAGAAAGACACCCACGCAUCAGCUGCAAUUGCCACCAUAAUGGGCAAAUGUAUGAUGAAGAGUUUGGAAAAAUGGAAUACACAGUGGAAAGAUGGAAGAGAAAGCAAGGCCAAGGAGUUUGUACACUGUGGAGAAAGGUAGAACUGGAAACUUGAUGGCAAUGAGGAACAGGAAGAUAUGAGGAGGACAUGGUAAGGUCUGUGCCUGGCCUAUCACCAAGGACACUCUCUGGAUCCAUGAUCAUGCUACACUGGGGAUCUGGGUUGAUGCCCAUGGCCCAGGUUACCACCAAAGGCCAAGCAAAUCACCAUGUUCUAGGAAGCUCC